GCACAACGCGAAGAACCUUACCUGGUCUUGACAUAGUAAGAACUUUCCAGAGAUGGAUUGGUGCCUUCGGGAACUUACAUACAGGUGCUGCGUGGCUGUCGUCAGCUCGUGUCGUGAGAUGUUGGGUUAAGUCCCGCAACGAGCGCAACCCUUGUCCUUAGUUACCAGCACGUUAUGGUGGGCACUCUAAGGAGACUGCCGGUGACAAACCGGAGGAAGGUGGGGAUGACGUCAAGUCAUCAUGGCCCUUACGGCCUGGGCUACACACGUGCUACAAUGGUCGGUACAGAGGGUUGCCAAGCCGCGAGGUGGAGCUAAUCUCACAAAACCGAUCGUAGUCCGGAUCGCAGUCUGCAACUCGACUGCGUGAAGUCGGAAUCGCUAGUAAUCGUGGAUCAGAAUGUCACGGUGAAUACGUUCCCGGGUCUUGUACACACCG
rnacentral:rRNA from 1 species